UACAGGGGGUGCAAACGUUGCUCGGAAUCAUUGGGCGUAAAGCGCACGUAGGCGGUUCGUUAUGUCGGAUGUGAAAGCCCUCGGCUCAACCGAGGAAGUGCAUACGAAACUGGCGAGCUUGAAUAUGGAAGAGGGUCGCGGAAUUCCCGGUGUAGAGGUGAAAUUCGUAGAUAUUCGCAAGAACACCAGUGGCGAAGGCGGCUCACUGGCCCGGUACUGACGCUAAGACGCGAAAGCGUGGGGAGCAAACAGG
rnacentral:rRNA from 1 species